rnacentral:lncRNA from 1 species
UUUGGUCAACCUCAUCUUCCUACAAGACUAGGACUGUGCAUCAACGGAGUUGUAUAUUAUAUGGCUUCCACUAGUAAGCGUGGCGAUAUUUGUCAAAACCUUGUUUAGUGUAAAAGGUUUUCUCGCUUUAUUAAGAUGUGUAGGCUUUGCCUUAUAUACACGAUUACAAAUAACCUAAAAUAUGUAAAGAUACUUUACUAAACUAGACAGCAAAUAUAACGUAAUUAUACAAUACAUCCCUCGCCAAUAUCCCCCCUCAAGGUGGAGUAUGCAGGUCCCAAAUACCCAGCUUGCCUAGAAAACUAUCAAACUCUUUGCGACCAAGAGCUUUGGUUAGGAGGUCGGCGAGCUGAACUUUAGUAGAAACGUAUUGAGGAACAAUGACACCCCGCACAAUCUCAUCCCGAAUAAAAUGACAAUCGUUCUCAAUAUGCUUAGUUCGUUCAUGAAAAACCGGAUUUUUACUCAAGUGAAUUGCAGCUUGAUUAUCACAGUGGAGAGGAAUAGGAGCUGAGCAAUCAACUCCAAGAGCAGUGAGUAACUCGCGCAACCAUAAAAUCUCAGAAACCGUAUCAGCCAUAGCUCGAUACUCUGCUUCAGCGGAGGAUCGAGAGACGACGUCUUGCUGCCGUGUUAUCCACGAGAUCGGAGAGCCACCAAGUUGAAUAAACCAGGCUGUGAGAGAUCGACGUGUCAACGGACAACCAGAAUAAUCAGAAUCACACCACGCCGUAAGAUGAAGAUCAGAACCAGCCCGUAGUAGAAUGCCCUGUCCCGGCCGACCUUUAAGAUAACAUACGACCCGAAGAGCAGCAUCCCAAUGUGCUUGCUUAGGAGCAUGCAUAAACUGAGACAAAACAUGUAUAGCAUAGGACAAUUCCGGCCUAGUGAUACGAAGAUAGAUAAGUCGUCCAACCAAACGGCGAUAACGAAAUGGGUCUGGGAGUGUGUCACCAACAGCAGAGGCCAACUUGUGGUUUUGUUCAAUCGGGUGAGACACCGGUUUAGCACCAAGUAAACCCGUAUCCGCAAUAAUAUCAAGAGUAUAUUUGCGUUGAGACAAAUACAUCCCGGAAGAAUUACGAGCCACUUUAAUGCCUAAAAAAUACUUAGAGAUACCAAGGUCCUUCAUCUGAAAACAUUUACCAAGAUAUUCUUUAAAAUCGGCAAUUACCUUCGAAGAGCUACCACAAAUAAUUAAAUCGUCCACAUAGACCAACACAUGGAGGCGUGUGUCAAGAUCAGCAAAUGUGAACAAAGAGUAAUCCUUUAAGCAUUGUUGGAAACCAUACUCUUUGAGGGAGUGUGAGAGUUUAGAAAACCAACACCUCGGAGCUUGACAAAGACCAUAUAAGGACUUGUGUAACCGACAAACCAGAUUCUUAUCAUUAGUGCGAAACCCCGGAGGAAGACGAAUAAACACCUCUUCAGUUAAAUCACCAUGGAGAAAUGCGUUAUGGACGUCCAUUUGAUGGACCUCCCAAUCUCGAGCAACUGCAACUUCCAAAAAUGAUCGGACCGUAGUCAUUUUACAAACUGGUGCAAACGUCUCCGUAUAAUCAAUACCUUCGGUCUGGUUGUUACCAAGAACAACGAGACGAGCUUUGUAACGCUCUAGGGUGCCAUCAGAUUUGUAUUUGAGUGUGAAAACCCAUUUACACCCGAGAGCUUUCUUCCCCGGAGGCAAUGUCUCGACAGUCCAAGUACCUUGCUCCUCAAGUGCAUCAAUUUCAACACGGACAGCCUCACGCCAAUUGUCGUCUUCAGCAGCCUCUGCGAACGUACGAGGAAUGACUCCAGCUGUAAUUGCAGCCAAAAAUGCCCGAUGAUGAUCAGAAAACUGAGCACAAUCAAUGUAUGAAUCAAUCGGAUACCAACAUGUGUCAACAAAAUCACUAUCGGAUCCUACAUGCGUCGUAUUAGUCGCAUAAUCAUGAAGACGAACAUUAGGAAACUUCGAUCUACAUCCUUUCCCCAUAGGAGCAGCUGGUUCAACUGUAUCAGAAAAAUCAAUAGGGAUAGGCUCCAACACAGAAGGCGUACAUGGUGUUGGAGUAGAACUCGCCGGUGGCAGUUCCGACAACGAUACCCGAGAAGAAGAGACACUUGACGGGAGAGGUGUCGUAAUGUCAGCCGGAGGAGAAACAAGUAGCGGAGGUGUAAUCGAAGGACGAGAUACACGAGGAGGAGAACCAUCAUCAACCAAUGGAGCUACUGUCGGCUGUAUCACUUCAUCAGAAAAAAUAUCAACAACGUCAGGAUCAUGAAUCAGAGGAGGAACGGAGGACGUGGAUGAUGGUGAUAGAGAACGUGAGGAAGUUGUAGCAAAUGGAAACUCGGUUUCGAUGAAGACAACAUCACGAGAGAUCGAGAUUACCCCAGUUUCAAGAUUAUACACUUUCCACCCUUUUUUCCCAAAAGGAUAACCAAGAAAUAUGGAUCGAUUACUUCUAGAAGCAAAUUUAUCUCCCCCAUGACGUUGGUUAUGUACAUAACAUAGACAACCAAAAAUGCGUAAAUGAUUCAUAGGAGGAGGGCGCUUAUAGAGUAUCCCAAAUGGAGUCUUCCCACCUAAAACCUUUGUUGGAGUCCGGUUAAUGAGAUAACCAGCCGUAAGAACGCAAAAACUCCAAAAUUCAAUAGGUAUAUUAGCUUGAAAACGGACAGCCCGAGCAACGUUAAGAAUAUGACGAUGCUUGCGUUCCACACGGCCAUUCUGUUGUGGAGUUCCCACACAAGAAGUCUCAUGUAGAAUGCCUUUUUGUCGAAAAAAUCCACCAAGACUCAUAAAUUCAGACCCAUUAUCACUCCGAAUUGUCUUCACUUGUGUUUCAAAUUGACGCUCAACAAGCGAAAUGAAAUCACGAAGAGUAGUCGCAGUUUCAGAUUUAUUUGGCAAUAAGAAAAUCCACACCGCACGUGAAUAAUCAUCAACAAUAGUGAGAAAAAAUCUUGAUCCACAAAUAGCCGUAGUCCGGUAGGGACCCCAUAGAUCACAGUGAACUAGCUCAAAAACCGCAGAAGUUUUAUUAGUACUCAAAGGAAAGGAAUCACGUGUUUGUUUUGAACGAAUACAAACGUCACAUGUCUUGGAAUCAAAAUCACUACUACUACAAGAAUUCGAUAAAUCCAACAUAUCCAUCGCCGUAGAAGAAGGAUGUCCAAGCCGCCGGUGCCACACGUCUUGAGGUUGCUUGUCCAAAACUUGUGUUACCGCUGCGGAAGCCAUCCCUCGAAAAAAAUAUAGUCCAUUCUGCUGCUCACCGGCUCCAAUCACCGUCUGUGUGAUGCGGUCCUGAACAACACAAAGCUUAUCAGAUAUCUGGAAGAUGCAUCCACAAUCUCUGGUUAACUGCGAAACCGAGAUGAGAUGACAUUGUAAACCAGCCACAAAAAACACGUUGAGUAACCGCAAAUGAGACCCAAGUGACACCGUCCCUUGCUUUGUAGAUAUCGUAAACCGACCAUCCGGUAAUUUGAUAAACAUAGGAGCCAUCUCACAAACAUCCAUGAGAAACUCUAAACUUCCUCUCAUAUGAUUUGAGGCACCAGUAUCAAUUACCCAAGAUUCAAUAAAGAACUUACCGGAGAGGCGAUCAUUAGACAUCGAGUUACGGACUCCAAGCAUCUCUUUCAAUUUUUUCCAUUCCUGGUCACUCAAACUAGAAAACCCAACCCGAUCAGCAUCCGUAACCUCUGUAUUUGCCACGUAUGCUGGAGAGGAGGACUCAACAUGAUGAGCAUGUGCAUGCUCACCUCCCUUAACCGGAGCAGAAGACACACGACGAUCAACACCUUGUUGUGAUGAAGAAACGCCUUGUUGUGGAGGAGUAAGCUUCGUACGUGGUCUAUCACCCCACCACCACGGAUAACCAAUCUUCCUAAAACAAUUGUCAACUAAAUGCCCUUUCCUUCCACAGCUCGUACAUAUCGCAUUAGGAUCACGAACUGGCGGUGACUGGUUUGAGCGAGGAGCAACACGGACAACAAAACUAGCUCCUUCAUUACGUUCUUCAAGCAACCGACCAGCACGUUUUAACUCCUCCUCUUGAGAGACCACUUGAUACGCUUCAUCAAGAGAUGGAAGAGGAUCGCGAGAGAGAAGAGAUGAUUUUACAGCACCGAAAACACUCUCAUCCAAACCCAUAAGAAAUUGAUGUAACUUGUCUUCUUCACGUUCCUUUGCGAUCUCUUCUGCUGUUUUUGCACGUUGAAAAUCACCUAGACUUGUCCAUAGUUUAGUGAGUUUCCCGUAAUAAGCUUCUACCGCUGUACCCUUCUGUUGGCAAUUUGCAAGCUCUGUUUUUAAUCUUUGAACUCUUUGACCAUUCUUCACGGCAAAACGUUUUUGUAUAUGCGUCCACAAAUCAUAAGCGACCUCAUGAUGCGAAAGAGAACUGCUUAGAUCCGGAGCAACCGUGAGCUUGAUCCAAGAGACCACCAUAGCAUUAUUCGCCCACCAAUCUUCUAUAUCUUCAGAAUCAUCUGCUGGUUUAGGGAUUGAACCAUCCGCAAAACCAAAUUUCUUUCUUGCGCGUAACGCAAGCCGUAUGUUAAGUGCCCACUCGUCAUAGUUAGGACCUCGCAACUGUGGUUGUGAGAUGACUGAGCCUGGAUUAUCUCCAGAAGAGAGAUCAUACGGAUCAAUCCGUCGACGUGUUGACUCAGUCCGUGUAGGUCGUUGUUUAGUAACGGAGGAACCAUCUUCUUCUUCACCCGACAUGUUCAAGAGAGUAUCUCGAUAAGAAUAGAUCGAUGAUACUAAGGUCAAGAGAAGGAGAGAAAAUCAAAAUAUGGAGAGGACACAGAGGAUCGUAGAACCUAAAAAAUUAGGUUAAGCUCUGAUACCAUGUCAAAACCUUGUUUAGUGUAAAAGGUUUUCUCGCUUUAUUAAGAUGUGUAGGCUUUGCCUUAUAUACACGAUUACAAAUAACCUAAAAUAUGUAAAGAUACUUUACUAAACUAGACAGCAAAUAUAACGUAAUUAUACAAUACAUCCCUCGCCAAUAAUAUUGUUGUUAGUUUUGACGUCAUGUCUGAAGAGUUCAAUAUGAUCCAAGCACCUCCGGAGGUGUCUUCAUAUGGUAAGUUUGUAGGAUUUAUAGAGUAUGGUGGAAAACCAGCUGUUUUUGAUUAUACCAAU